rnacentral:misc_RNA from 1 species
UUGAAUCACAGAGGGUUGAUGCUGGCAGUUUGACUGCAUGUGCUCACUCUCCUAGUCUUAUUUAUACCUGUGCACUUAACUUUUGAAGGGAGGGUAAAGCCUGCCUUUGAAAAAUAUAUAUAAACCCUUGCCUAAAGUAAUGAAUGUUUAUCUGCCGCAAGGCAAAAUUUGGUA